rnacentral:rRNA from 1 species
CCCAGACAGCCAGGAUGUUGGCUUAGAAGCAGCCAUCAUUUAAAGAAAGCGUAAUAGCUCACUGGUCGAGUCGGCCUGCGCGGAAGAUGUAACGGGGCUAAACCAUGCACCGAAGCUGCGGCAGCGACACUGUGUGUUGUUGGGUAGGGGAGCGUUCUGUAAGCCUGUGAAGGUGGCCUGUGAGGGUUGCUGGAGGUAUCAGAAGUGCGAAUGCUGACAUAAGUAACGAUAAAGCGGGUGAAAAGCCCGCUCGCCGGAAGACCAAGGGUUCCUGUCCAACGUUAAUCGGGGCAGGGUGAGUCGACCCCUAAGGCGAGGCCGAAAGGCGUAGUCGAUGGGAAACGGGUUAAUAUUCCCGUACUUGGUGUUACUGCGAAGGGGGGACGGAGAAGGCUAUGUUGGCCGGGCGACGGUUGUCCCGGUUUAAGCGUGUAGGUGUGUGUUCCAGGUAAAUCCGGUUCACUUUAACACUGAGGCGUGAUGACGAGGCACUACGGUGCUGAAGCAACAAAUGCCCUGCUUCCAGGAAAAGCCUCUAAGCAUCAGGUAACAUCAAAUCGUACCCCAAACCGACACAGGUGGUCAGGUAGAGAAUACCAAGGCGCUUGAGAGAACUCGGGUGAAGGAACUAGGCAAAAUGGUGCCGUAACUUCGGGAGAAGGCACGCUGACAUGUAGGUGAAGUGAUUUACUCAUGGAGCUGAAGUCAGUCGAAGAUACCAGCUGGCUGCAACUGUUUAUUAAAAACACAGCACUGUGCAAACACGAAAGUGGACGUAUACGGUGUGACGCCUGCCCGGU